GGUGCUUGAGUACGAAGAGGGAAGGCGGAACUCGUGGUGUAGCGGUGAAAUGCUUAGAUAUCACGAGGAACUCCGAUCGCGAAGGCAGCUUUCCGUUUCGGAACUGACGCUGAGGCUCGAAAGUGCGGGUAUCGAACAGGAUUAGAUACCCUGGUAGUCCGCACGGUAAACGAUGGAUGCCCGUUGUCAGGCUGUUUCAGCCUGGUGACCAAGCGAAAGCAUUAAGCAUCCCACCUGGGGAGUACGCCGGCAACGGUGAAACUCAAAGGAAUUGACGGGGGCCCGCACAAGCGGAGGAACAUGUGGUUUAAUUCGAUGAUACGCGAGGAACCUUACCCGGGCUUGAACUGCGGCGGAACGAUUCCGAGAGGAUGAGGCCCUUCGGGGCUGCCGCGGAGGUGCUGCAUGGUUGUCGUCAGCUCGUGCCGUGAGGUGUCGGCUUAAGUGCCAUAACGAGCGCAACCCCCGUCUUCAGUUGCCAUCGGAUGAUGCCGGGCACUCUGGAGAUACUGCCACCGCAAGGUGUGAGGAAGGUGGGGAUGACGUCAAAUCAGCACGGCCCUUACGUCCGGGGCUACACACGUGUUACAAUGGCGCAUACAGAGAGUAGGUGGCAUGCGAAUGCCAUCCAAUCCUUAAAGUGCGUCUCAGUUCGGACUGGGGUCUGCAACCCGACCCCACGAAGCUGGAUUCGCUAGUAAUCGCGCAUCAGCCAUGGCGCGGUGAAUACGUUCCCGGGCCUUGUACACACCGCCCGUCAAGCCAUGAAAGCCGGGGGUGCCUGAAGUCUGUGACCGCAAGGAACGGCCUAGGGCAAAACCGGUGAUUGGGGCUAAGUCGUAACAAGGUAGCCGUACCGGAAGGUGCGGCUG
rnacentral:rRNA from 1 species